UACGUAGGGUGCGAGCGUUGUCCGGAAUUAUUGGGCGUAAAGAGCUCGUAGGCGGUUUGUUGCGUCCGCUGUGAAAUCCCGAGGCUCAACCUCGGGCCUGCAGUGGGUACGGGCAGACUGGAGUGCGGUAGGGGAGAAUGGAAUUCCUGGUGUAGCGGUGGAAUGCGCAGAUAUCAGGAGGAACACCGAUGGCGAAGGCAGUUCUCUGGGCCGUAACUGACGCUGAGGAGCGAAAGCGUGGGGAGCGAACAGG
rnacentral:rRNA from 1 species